rnacentral:ncRNA from 1 species
GAAGGGUGUCCUGGGAGCCUGUGGCGUUCGCCCCCUCCCAAUACCUCGAAGGAGGAACCUCACGCACAGAGUUGAAAAUAAGCAUAGAUCCGGAGAUUCCCAAAUAGGUCAACCUUUUAAACUGCCUGCUGAAUCCAUGAGCAGGCAAGAGACAACCUGGCGAACUGAAACAUCUUAGUAGCCAGAGGAAAAGAAAGCAAAAGCGAUUCCCGUAGUAGC